UGCCGUGAGGUGUUGGUUAAGUCCCGCAACGAGCGCAACCCCUACCUGCCAGUUACUAACAGGUGAAGCUGAGGACUCUGGCGGGAACUGCCGGUGACAAACCGGAGGAAGGUGGGGAUGACGUCAAGUCAUCAUGGCCCUUAUGUCCAGGGCUACACACGUGCUACAAUGGGUGAGACAGAGUGACGCGAAGCCGCGAGGUGGAGCAAAUCGCAGAAAAUCAUCCGUAGUUCGGAUUGGAGUCUGAAACCCGACUCCAUGAAGGUGGAAUCGCUAGUAAUCGCGCAUCAGCAUGGCGCGGUGAAUACGUUCCCGGGCCUU
rnacentral:rRNA from 1 species